rnacentral:misc_RNA from 1 species
AGGGUUAACACCUGGAUCUUUCACAAAUACAAUUGCAGGGGGCAGAUUCCACCUCAAACCUGUAACUUAUUUCUUUUUAUUAGUAGAAAUAAGAACCAUGAUAAACAAAAAAGAGAGCAAACAAAGUAUCUCCUAUAAAUGCUAGGAGUACACAGUAUAACAAGCUCCACUCACAAAAAUAAAAGAAAAAUAAAAUAAAAUAAUCAGACAAGAAAUUUCCCGUUGCUCAAAAUUGAAGAGUCUGUGGCCCUUUUUUUUUACAAUUCUCCAUCAGGUUUCUCUGUUUCAAAAGCCACCAGAUUUGUCUCACUACAAUGUAAAAAUAGCCAUGGGAAUGGCAACCCAUACGUCUACAAACUUUAUGAUAUAAUGCAUCAUUCAAAUUCCAUCUCUACAAUCUAAAAAUAAAACCACUAGCAUUGAAAAGUACUAUCCUAUCCUAUCACAAUGAGGAAGCCAGUGACACUCCCUUUGCAAACGGGAAGGACGUUGCUUUGCACCUUCCCUUUCUGCAUCAAAUAGAUUAUCAUCAAAAUUCUUCCCCGCAAGGCUUUCCAAUAAAUGAGGGAAAGAGAGAUAAGUUUGAAGGCACUUCCAUUCCUCAAAUAGAUCUCCAUGGACAAGAAACCUCUUUGUACUUCUAUGACCUCUGUCCAAAACAUCAGUGUGAUAAGGUUCCAUGCUAAAUUCCAUUUUCUUCAUCAACAUUCGUUUAAUUUGUUGAGAUGUUGAAAUCAUGCCCGCUCCCUGUUGUUAUCUUUAAAGAUAAAUUUGACUAGAUCAACAAGAAAUCCUAAUCUUAAGUAGCUCAUGUUUCUUUUCUUUCUAUAAUGGGAAAUGCCAAACCCAUAGAUUUGGCCAACUUAAAUUUGGCCAAUACAGAAAAAAUUAUCAAUCAGAGGCUACCAGAGCGGCAUUGAAUUAAAGUUAAAUUUGGGUAAGGAAGCUACUUCCUUACCAAGGCUUGGGUAAGGAAGUGUAUCAAAUACUUUGAAGUGUUUGGGGUUUCUAGUGAUCAAAGAGUGGCUUUGGCCAGUUUAUUUUUAGUGGAUAGGGCAGAUGCAUGGUAUCAUAACUGGAUUAGGAGUGAUGGGGAACAUUCUUGGAAAAAUUUUGAAAGGGAUUUGUGUGCAAGAUUUGGUGAAGAGGGUAUUGAGGAUGUAGUGGAAAAAAUGAUGAAAUUAAGGCAAGAAAAUAGUGUGGAGGAGUUUCAAGAUAGGUUUGAAGAUACCAAAAUUAGAUUGGAGAGGGUAACACCUAAUCUUGGAGAGGCAUAUUUCAUUUCUAUCUUCAUUGGAGGAUUGAAAGAGGAUACAAGGCCUAUGGUGAGAAUGCACAAACCCUCUACAAUGGCUCAAGCCUUUGAGAUUGCUAAGCUUCAAGAGCUAUUUAUUAAUUGCAGCAAGAAACCUAAUUCCAACCCCAAACCUUAUCAGUCAAGUUAUAGAUCUACUUCUUACAGCCCUUUCUCUGCAUACAAAGCAAUCCCAAUCAGUGGCAAUUCUUCUUAUGCAUCCAAGUCAUCAAAUUUUAAGGCAGUAACAAAUCUGAAAGCACCUAUCACCAUACCAAAACCCACUCAAAGAGCCAGCCAAGCUUCUGUGAAUCAGCCUGUUAAUAAGCCAAACAUCAGUGUCAAUGCCAAUUCAAACACCAUUAGACAACCAAGACCUUGUUUUAAAUGUGGAGAAAAAUACUUCCCUAGACAUGUUUGUAAGUAGAAAACCCUAAUGUCUCUUCAAAUGGAGGAGGAUGGAGAUGCUGCCUUUCAGUUGAAUGGUGAAGAAAAUGAUGAGGAGGGAUUACCUGCAUCACAAGAUGAGAUGACUAUUUCAAUCAAUGCCAUUGAAGGUAGUCAGGGAGUUCAGACAAUAAGAGUAGUAGGGAAGCAUAAAAACAGGGAGUUACUUAUCUUGAUUGAUAGUGGAAGUACCCACAGUUUCUUAAACAUGAAAGUAGCAAAGGAACUGAAGCUUCCUUUAGUUAAUGCCUCUACAAUUGCUGUCAUAGUAGCUGAUGGGAGGAAGGUAACUACUAGCAGUGUGUGUCCUGCUUUCACUUGGAAAAUUAAUCAAUAUUCUUCAGUUUUGAUUUUAGACUAUUGGAAUUAGGCAUUUUUCAUGUGAUUUUGGGGGUAGGUUGGAUGAGUACUUUCAAUCCAAUUCUCAUUGACUUUAAGAAUUCCAAGAUCAGCUUCCAACAAGCAGGAAAACAAGUAGUUUUGGAGGGCGUUACUGAUGUGGAAUCUCAGCCCAAAUUGCUGAAUUGUGUAGAUGGGCACCAGCUUAUGCACAAGAAUGGAGUAGAUUUUCAAACUCCAAUCUUUUGUGUACAGUUGCAGAGCAAGGGGGAAAUCAAUGAGUCAUUUUCUAACAGUCUUAGUGCUUAUUCAGUAGAUCUGGAGUUAUUAUUGAGCAAGUAUGGGAGCAUUUUUGGAGAUUCUAAGGGAUUACCACCCUUUACAAGCCACAAUCAUUCCAUCCCUUUGAUUCCUCAAGCACAGCCUGUUAAUAUCAGGCCUUACAGGUAUCCACACUUCCAAAAAGCUGAGAUAGAAAAGCUAGUGGAUGAGAUGCUGAAAAAUGGAGUAAUUCAGCCAAGUACCAGCCCUUAUGCUUCCCUUGUUUUGCUGGUCAAAAAGAAGGAUGGCACAUGGAGAUUCUGUAUUGAUUACAGAAGGCUCAGAAAUAACAGUGAAUGAUAAAUUUCCCAUUCCCAUUAUAGAUGACCUCUUGGAUGAGCUAUAUGGUGAAAAAUAUUUCUCCAAGAUAGAUUUAAAAGCUGGCUAUCAUCAAAUCAGGAUGGAUCCCCCUAAUAUACACAAAACAACCUUUAGAACUCAUCAAGGGCAUUAUGAAUUCACUGUUAUGCCUUUUGGCUUAACAAAUGCCUCAGCAACAUUUAAGGCAAUAAUGAAUCAUAUCUUCUAAUAAUUUUAAAGGAAGUUUGUGUUAGUCUUUUUUGAUGACAUUCUUAUAUAUAGUGCCACCUGGGAGGAGCAUUUGCAGCAUUUGGAACAAGUUUUUAAGGUGUUACAGCAGCAACA